rnacentral:lncRNA from 1 species
CAUGUAUCCUGUUUUAUAGUUUCUUGAUGAGAAAUGAUUCAGACCAGACUUAAUAUAUGUUGUGUUUCGAAAACCCAGUGAAUGAUAACUGUGAGGGAAGACAGGGAUUCAUUCCUUUGACCCAAGACCAGUGCAAUAGGAAAGACCAGGUUUGAUUCCUGUGAUCCAUAGAGAGAGGCCAUUAGAGAAGACCAGGUUUGAUUCCUGUGACUCUAUGGUAGCCAAGUUAACUUAUGAUAUGCUGACCCUUACAGAGUGGGUUCUAUGCUGCAGAGCGCAUAGGGUAUGGAGGUUACUUGGUAGAGUAUCACUGGUGUAUUAUAGAUAGCCUGAGGGCUAGCUCAGAUUAGUAUAUCUGAGUAUUUUGGUUCAUAUGCAUGGACCUACAGAGAGUGUUUUAAAGGUUAAGUCUGGUAGUUUUAAAGUAAAGUUUUAACAGUUAGUAGUCCAGUUGGAUCAUGUAUGGGAUUUUCACAGGUACACAGAGUUCAUAGCAGGCUUACUACGGGUCUAGGCGGCCUUAAGCCGAUCUGGAUCCUAGUGCCGAGCAGUUUGGGCCGUUACAAAGAGGGUACCGGUUUCCGGGCUGUUACA